CGGAUGAUUUCGUCACUAUUGAUUGUGUGAUAAUGAAAACAAGGUAUGAAUCGGGUCUACUUGUUGAUCCGGGACAGGUAUGAUUUUAGCACCGGAGGAUGAUCAAGCACAACGAAGAACCGAACACGAUCAAGAAAUAAGCUUCCGCACUAUGUAUCGUUGUUUUGUUAAAUGACGAACUCAAACAUGUUAUCUUGUAUAGUUUUAAUUCUGUAAAUAAAGUUUAAUGAAA